AGUGAGGGAAACCCAGCAACAAGGAGAGAAGAGGAGCCGAGGGGAGCGGCCACUGCUGGCCAGGGCCAGCGCUGGAAGGAGGCCAAAUAAUGAAGGAACGAGACCAAGAGUCUCUUCUGAUACUUUAUUCUUUGGACGGGUUGAAGAUGAAAAGACCAGGAAGGGUCGACUGCAGAGUCGUCAGCCCAUCACUUCUCUGCUCCUCUCCCUCCCCACCUACGGUGAGAUGGCAGAGCAAUCCAACCAGAAGAGCCCUACAGCACGCAGUGCAGGAAGGGGCCUCACUCACCAGAACG